GAGGCAGAUGAGCUGGAUACCAGGGAGGAGCCACUGUUCCGCCUGGAGCCAUUCAUGGAGCGUAGUGACUUGCUGUCUGUCUCCAGCAACCUGAAGAGGAGGAAAGAAAGAGUUGAGCGACCUCAUCAAGGAUCAACGUGCAGAGAAAAGAACCUGUAACUGCCAAACCUGCACGGCACCGAAGAGCUCAUGACAGACACACAAAGGCUCAGACACCUGAUCUCGGAAAAAGACUGAGGCCUCUCGACUGGAGCCUGCGACGUCACUGAGCCUGCUCCCAGAACGGCUAGGGUUACAGCCAAAUUUGGGUCGUAUAGGAGAGAGCGAAAACACACCAAGCCAGCAAGAGCACUUACUCACUUGUAUUUAGUUCUGACUAAAAGUUAAACGGUGAAUAAAAGCAUUCUCUAACAGCU